CACUACUUGCGUCCCCGCUCCGGCGGUAUUCCGUAGGUGUCCGUCGGUUUCCCGUUUUAUUGGUCAUCAUGAGCCCGUUGGCGUUUUUUCGCGUCUAUCGUGAAAGUCCGCGGCUCACCCGCGGAUCUGCGGUUGGUACUGGCAGACUAGAGUGAUGUAGGGGAGACUGGAAUUCCUGGUGUAGCGGUGAAAUGCGCAGAUAUCAGGAGGAACACCGAUGGCGAAGGCAGGUCUCUGGGCAUUUACUGACGCUGAGGAGCGAAAGCAUGGGGAGCGAACAGGAUUAGAUACCCGAGUAGUC
rnacentral:rRNA from 1 species